UUAGGUUUUCUUCAUAUUCUUCUGGAAUUUUUCGCAGAUUUUAGUUGUUGAAGGUUGAUGGAGAUGAUAUGAAGAUGAAGAAGAUGAAGAA
rnacentral:pre_miRNA from 1 species